rnacentral:lncRNA from 1 species
ACUACUUGUAAAAAAAGUUAAGAUUUUUUGUAAUGUUAAAUUCUCUCUUAUUAUAAGUAAUUGGAUAACUAUAUUUGGUAUGUGCGUACCUUGCAAGGUUCUCAUGCCCGUCAGACAGUUUUCACUUGACCUCGACCUCAUUUCAUGGAUCAGUGAACAAGGUUAAGUUUUGGUGGUCAAGUCCAUAUCUCAGAUACUAUAAGCAAUAGGUCUAGUAUAUUCGGUGUAUGGAAGGACUGUAAGGUGUACAUGUCCAACUGGCAGGUGUCAUCUGACCUUGACCUCAUUUUCAUGGUUCAGUGGUUAUAGUUAAGUUUUUGGGUUUUGGUCUGUUUUUCUUAUACUAUAUGCAAUAGGUCUACUAUAUUUGGUGUAUGGAAUGAUUGUAAGGUGUACAUGUCCAACUGGCAGGUGUCAUCUGACCUUGACCUCAUUUUCAUGGUUCAGUGGUUAUAGUUAAGUUUUUGAGUUUUGGUCUGUUUUUCUUAUAUACUAUAUGCAAUAGGUCUACUAUAUUUGGUGUAUGGAAUGAUUGUAAGGUGUACAUGUCUAGCUGACAGGUGUCAUCUGACCUUGACCUCAUUUUCAUGGUUACAGUGGUCAAAGUUAAGUUUUUGAGUUUGGUCUAUUUUUCUAAUACUUUAUUCAUUAGGUCAACUAUAUUUGGUGUAUGAAAAUAUUUUAUGAUCUAUAUGUCUGUUACGCAGGUUUAUUUGACCUUGACCUCAUUUUCACGGUCCAUUGCUAAGUGUUAAGUGUUUGUGUUUUGGUCUGUUUUUCUUAAUUUAUAAGCAAUAAGUCAACUAUAUUUGUUGUAUUGAAGAAUUGUUAGCUGUACAUGUCUGCCUGGCAUGGUUCAUCUGACCUUGACCUCAUUUUCAUGGUUCAUUGAUCAAUGUUUCGUUUUCUUGGUUAAUGUUGAGUUUAUGUGACAGUUGUAAUAAAGCUUUAUAUUUAGGUCUAUCAACAUAAUAUCAAUAAUUAGUAAAGAAGGCAAGACAUUUCAGCGUGUGCACUCUUGUUCAUAAAUUUUAGUAAUCUUUUACAAAAAUCUUCUCCUCUGAAACUGCUGGGCUAAAUUAAUCCAAACUUGGCCACAAUCAUCUUUGGGGUAUGUAGUUUAAAAAAUGUGUCCGGUGACCCUGCAAUCCAACCAAAAUGGCUGCCACGG